rnacentral:lncRNA from 1 species
AUGGAGCAGCCCUGCGGCGCAUACGUUGCAAUCUACAACCAAAAGCAGGCAUUAAUUAGUUGUUAUAAUAAUUUAUUGCCUAAUAGUAACAUUAUAAAUUUGCACACACAACAGAGCAAGAGGACUACUUUACUUCUGUUUGGGACCAGAGAGCGAAAGAAGAUGGAUGGCAGGAGAUGGAGGGCAAGGAAGACCAGGGAUGUUAAGGGCCAAGUUCUGUACCUGCUGUUACCAAGUGAUGGCUUUGCAGGAACCACCUGGGGAAUGUCUAGAAGGAAGAUGCAGAUUCUCCACCAUGGAUGUUAA